ensembl:lncRNA
UUUUCCUUCAAAUUAUUUUCCAGAUUCUGUUCCUGGCCUCAGAAUAAGGAAGAACAUGUACGCUUCAGAUACCUGAAAGGAACUGCUGUAUAGUGAAACUGAAUUUUCCAGCAAGAAACAUAUUACUUCAAGAGGAGACAGUGAGACCAUACAGUCCUUAAGAGAACUCAUAAAAUGUCAAGUGCUGUGGAAACAGAACAGAAGCCCAUGUUUCAGCCAGGAUUGCAAUGGCCUCCUCCCAUGGGAAUAGCAGCUGCAUAAAUAGGAGGGAAGCCCUCAGUGGAAUUGCUUCCAACACCUUUCUAAUGGAAAUAAUGAUUUGCAAAGUCCAGUUUAUGCCUUUGCCACGUAAUUAGUAGCCAAGAUUAAAAACAUUGUUCCAACUCCCAGCAUCGUUGAAAUCUGGCAAAACCUUAAAUAUUCCGCUGUGUUCCAAGAAGGUAGCCCAUAAGUGAUCAUUGUAAGGACAGUCUUAGCCAGUUCAGUCAAGCCCUUGAAUCAAUCAACACUUAUUAUAUGGAAAUUAACCAGUUUGAUGUCAAUUAGUGGAAAUUUGUUAGCAGACAUAACCUAUGAGAUGUUUUAUUUUGAAUUCCUUGCUCUCCCCACUGAAGCUAGCUAAGAUAGGGAUAAGGACCCAGCCACACAUUUCUGAAGGCCUAGAGUAGAAUUAAUUAAAAAAGAAGUGGAGUGAAGCUGUAGUCAAAUACACAAAAACUCUACUGUCUACAGGGCACAAGAAGAACAAGGAACUGGAUAUCAGAUUUUUUUCUUGGAAGGAAUCAAUUUCUAGUCACAGAUUUUGGUGCAUAACAGUCUAUUCUGUAUGUGUCAAUACUGAGUAUAUGGAGAUAAAAAAAAGUGUAUAUAGUCUGAUGGCAAUUUGUACCCUCAUUUUGUGCUACUUUAAAGGUCCUUUUCUACCAUGUUCUUAUGCGUUAUAUCCUCGUAUUAAGAAAGUAAUAGUUUUUAAAUUAAAAAUGUCUGACUUGAUCAUUAAUUUUCCUCCUAAAAAU